UUUUUUAAUUAAGAUAUUUUUAACAUAGUGUUCUAUCAUAAGGAGAAACCCGUUUUCCAAGAAACAGGCAGGAACCACAAAAAAACAACAACCCCUUUUAUUCUCACAGGCGUGAGUCAAUGUCCAAAGCAAACAAACACGUUCCCACAACUUCCCUUUUAUAAUUCAGCCAAGGCGUGGCUUCCUAAUGCCUUCUCCUUUGCCUUUGGAGCUGCCCCAUUGCAUUCCUCUGUCCUACUCGCUUCUCUUUCUUGCGCAUUUGUGCAUCCGGGAUUUGUUCCAACUCUUCUUCAUCACUGUUCAACUCAGGCUCCCAGCACAGCUGUGUCUCAGCUGCACGCGAGUAGAGGGAACAGGCUCCUCGUCCGACUCUUGGACUGGAUCUGAAGAUUUUUCUUUCAACAAUUUGGCACCCCGGAUGGGACUCCAGGCUAACCUCACCAAUGGACCGGGACUCCAUCUUGCCGGCAGCAGACCCCUUGUGUCCAUGGGUGGGUUUCCCAGACCCUGCCCAUUUGGAGUAAGGGUAGUAAAGGGAGUUUUGACUUUUUGAGCUCAACGGCUGUUUGGAAAGAAGACCAACAAUGCUCUUCUGGGAGAGUCACCUACAAAGCGGGGAAGGGACCCCGUUCUCAUGUCUUUCAGCCCUGCACAGAUCUUUAGAAAUCAGAGCACACUGACCCAGAUGUUGCUUCCAUUCAUUUGAGCCAGAGAAUUGGGUUUGGAUCCAGCCAUCCAUUGGAAAGUCACCAUGCAACUAGAGUGGAACAGAUCUUCCCAAGUCCUACAUCACCCAGAUGCUUGUGAAAGCUGCAGAAAAAGGAAGGACUCCUAGACCCAUUGGCCCCCACAUGAAGCCUCAGAAGACAACUGGAAAGACUAUGGGGGAAGGGCAAAAACUCAUUGUAAGGUUUUCUUUCAUGCCUCAUUUAUCUUGUAAUUAAGUAGUCAAAUGGAUUCAUGGAGGGAUGACAUUGGGAAUGGUUGGCACAGGAAGUCCUGAACACCUUGGAGUUCUGUCUACCAAAAGGGCACACUCAAGCUCAGGUCAAAGAACAUUGCACAGGAACAGGAACAACCUGAAAUACAAAACCCAAAGAAGGUAUAAAAACCCACCCUCUCCCAGCUCCAUUU